GACGAACGCUGGCGGCGUGCUUAACACAUGCAAGUCGAACGGUGAAGCGCCUUCCUUUUUGGUGGGUGUGGAUGAGUGGCGAACGGGUGAGUAACACGUGAGUAACCUGCCCCCUUCUUCUGGAUAACCGCAUGAAAGUGUGGCUAAUACGGGAUAUUCUGGGUCUGUCGCAUGAUGGGUCUGGGAAAGAUAUUGUUUCGGUGGGGGAUGGGCUCGCGGCCUAUCAGCUUGUUGGUGGGGUGAUGGCCUACCAAGGCGGUGACGGGUAGCCGGCCUGAGAGGGUGGACGGUCACACUGGGACUGAGACACGGCCCGGACUCCUACGGGAGGCAGCAGUGGGGAAUAUUGCACAAUGGGCGAAAGCCUGAUGCAGCGACGCCGCGGGAGGGAUGGAGGCCUUCGGGUUGUGAACCUCUUUCGCCAGUGAAGCAGGCCUGCCUCGUUUGUGGGUGGGUUGACGGUAGCUGGAUAAGAAGCGCCGGCUAACUACGUG
rnacentral:rRNA from 1 species